rnacentral:rRNA from 1 species
UACGGAGGGUGCAAGCGUUAUCCGGAUUCACUGGGUUUAAAGGGAGCGUAGGUGGGCUUGUAAGUCAGUGGUGAAAUCUCCGGGCUUAACCCGGAAACUGCCAUUGAUACUAUAGGUCUUGAAUAUUGUGGAGGUUAGCGGAAUAUGUCAUGUAGCGGUGAAAUGCUUAGAUAUGACAUAGAACACCAAUUGCGAAGGCAGCUGGCUACACAUAUAUUGACACUGAGGCUCGAAAGCGUGGGGAUCAAACAGG